GCGNCGUAGCUUAACACAUGCAAGUCGAACGAACCUUCGGGUUAGUGGCGGACGGGUGAGUAACGCGUGAGAAUCUGCCCUCAGGAGGGGGAUAACGGCUGGAAACGGCCGCUAAUACCCCAUAUGCCGAGAGGUGAAAUGAAUUUCGCCUGAGGAUGAGCUCGCGUCUGAUUAGCUAGUUGGUGGGGUAAGAGCCUACCAAGGCAUCGAUCAGUAGCUGGUCUGAGAGGAUGAUCAGCCACACUGGGACUGAGACACGGCCCAGACUCCUACGGGAGGCAGCAGUGGGGAAUUUUCCGCAAUGGGCGAAAGCCUGACGGAGCAACGCCGCGUGAGGGAUGAAGGCCUCUGGGCUGUAAACCUCUUUUAUCAAGGAAGAAGAUCUGACGGUACUUGAUGAAUAAGCCACGGCUAAUUCCGUGCCAGCAGCCGCGGUA
rnacentral:rRNA from 1 species